GAUUCAACGCUGGCGGCGUGCUUAACACAUGCAAGUCGAACGGAGUGGUCCUCCCGAAGCGAAACGGUGCUUGCACCUGAUCAAUUCAUUUGGAUUCACUUAGUGGCGGACGGGUGAGUAACGCGUGGGUAACCUGCCCUAUACUGGGGGAUAGCAGUUGGAAACGACUGCUAAUACCGCAUAAGCGCACGAGAUGGCAUCAUCUAGUGUGAAAAACUCCGGUGGUAUAGGAUGGUCCCGCGUCUGAUUAGCCAGUUGGCAGGGUAACGGCCUACCAAAGCGACGAUCUGUAGCCGGCCUGAGAGGGCGGACGGCCACAUUGGGACUGAGACACGGCCCAAAUUCNUACGGGAGGCAGCAGUGGGGGAUAUUGCACAAUGGAGGAAACUCUGAUGCAGCGACGCCGCGUGAGUGAAGAAGUAUUUCGGUAUGUAAAGCUCUAUCAGCAGGGAAGAAAGGCUCGUAAGAGAGAUGACGGUACCUGACUAAGAAGCCCCGGCUAACUACGUGCCAGCAGCCGCGGUAAUACGUAGGGGGCAAGCGUUAUCCGGAUUUACUGGGUGUAAAGGGAGCGCAGACGGAUGUGCAAGUAUGAAGUGAAACCCCACGGCUCAACCGUGGGCC
rnacentral:rRNA from 1 species